UACGUAGGUGGCAAGCGUUGUCCGGAAUUAUUGGGCGUAAAGCGCUCGCAGGCGGUCCUUUAAGUCUGAUGUGAAAGCCCACGGCUCAACCGUGGAGGGUCAUUGGAAACUGGGGGACUUGAGUACAGAAGAGAAGAGUGGAAUUCCACGUGUAGCGGUGAAAUGCGUAGAGAUGUGGAGGAACACCAGUGGCGAAGGCGACUCUUCGGUCUGUAACUGACGCUGAGGCGCGAAAGCGUGGGGAGCAAACAGG
rnacentral:rRNA from 1 species